rnacentral:pre_miRNA from 1 species
UGUUAAAAAUUUCAUCCAUUUCUACUGUGUAAAAAUUAGUGUGGCUAACAAAAUAAUCAGACGACCACGUGUACCUCAUUAUGACAUACAAAAACUAAUUUUUAAUGAUAGAAAUGGAUUAAAUUUUUAGUA